rnacentral:rRNA from 1 species
AACGUAGGAGACAAACGUUAUCCGGAGUUACUGGGCGUAAAGGGCGUGUAGGUGGUUGCGUAAGUCUGGCGUGAAAUAUCUCGGCUUAACCGAGGCAGGUCGUCGGAUACUGCGUAACUAGAGGACGGUAGAGGCGUGUGGAAUUCCGGGUGUAGUGGUGAAAUGCGUAGAGAUCCGGAGGAACACCAGUGGCGAAGGCGACACGCUGGGCCGUACUGACACUGAUGCGCGACAGCAUGGGGAGCAACAGGA